rnacentral:rRNA from 1 species
AGCUCUAUUAGCGUAUAUUAACGUUGUUGAUGUUAAAAAGCUCGUAGUUGAAAUUCCGGCCCUUUGGGUCUGUUUAGGAGGCUAUAGGAUAGAGUAAAAUCUUUCUUAUAGUUAAUUAAACUUUUACUGUGAAUAAAAUAGAGUGCUUAAAGCAGGCGAUAGCUUGAAUAAUUUAGCAUGGAAUAAUAGAAAAUGACUGUAUUCAUUAUAUUGGUUUUUGGAUAUAGUAAUGGUUAACAGGAACAGUUGGGGGCAUUUGUAUUUAAUAGUCAGAGGUAAAAUUCUUAGAUUUAUUAAAGACAAACUAAUGCGAAGGCAUUUGCCAAGGAUGUUUUCA